rnacentral:rRNA from 1 species
GACAGAGGAUGCAAGCGUUAUCCGGAAUGAUUGGGCGUAAAGCGUCUGUAGGUGGCUUUUCAAGUCCGCCGUCAAAUCCCAGGGCUCAACCCUGGACAGGCGGUGGAAACUACCAAGCUGGAGUACGGUAGGGGCAGAGGGAAUUUCCGGUGGAGCGGUGAAAUGCAUUGAGAUCGGAAGGAACAUCAGUGGCGAAAGCGACUUCCUGGACCAAUACUGACGCUCAUGUGCGAAAGCGUGGGGAGCAAACAGG